AGCUUAUGAUAUGAUGAACUUGUGUGAAGAGUGUUGAAUGUGAUAUUUUUUUUAUUGAGGGAAUUAUGUACUCGGAGGAUUAAUCAAUGGAUAUCUUCCAUGUAAAGGCUUAUACUGUGUUUUUCUGGCGACGAGCUAUUUGAUCCCAAGUAAUUUACAAAAGGUAAUGAUUCAUAUACUUAUUCAUCAUGUCGAUAUGUAAAGUACUUAUCUAAAUAUGGGUAUAAUUCAGUAAAGUAACAAUGAAAUGUAGUUUCCAUACGAUCAUUAUCACAUGCCCCUUUUGUGUUAUGAAUCGUAUACAAAUACCCAUCUAUGUCCUUUUAACAUAAACUCCUUUCCCUUCCUAGAUAUUCACUCUCUUAUAAUCAUCUACAACAAAUUUUCGGAGUAAGUUAUUUUUGUCAGUACAACAAUCAUAAUAAAUACAUAAUAAUUAAUACAACAACAAUAGUGUGCUAUUGAUAUUGUGUAUAUAUUGCUUAUAUUAAUUCCCCUAAUCUUUUUCUAUUUGGUUGUUGCAAACCGUUUUCGCAAAAAGAACUUUCUCAUUUCAAAGAUGUACAACCGAGUAGUAUACAUGCAUGGCAAUAUUCUAACUUCUUGUAUAUUGUGUUUGCUCAGGAAAUACCAUUUUUACUAAUGUAUAUAUUUGCACAGGAGAGGGAAAUUUGAAUUUUUGACUUGAUGUAUAUGCUUAGGAUGUAGAACAUUAGACUUAGUGUAUAUUUCCAGGAGGUGGUAUAAUAAACGUGGUGUAUAGACUAAUUUUUGUACAUAAAUAAAUAAAUCCGUUAGUUUUCUCGUCUGAAUUGAUAUACAUUGUCAUUUCGGGGCAUUUUGUAGCUGACUAUGCGGUAUGGGCUUUGCUCAUUGUUGAAGACCGUACGGUGACCUAUAGUUGUUAAUUUCUUUGUAAUUUCUGUCUCUUGUGGGGAGUUGUUUCAUUGGCAAUUAUACCACAUCUUCUUUUUUUUAUUUUGACUUGUAAUAUUUGCUGAGAUGGAAAAAAAAAUGACUUGGUGUAUACGCUCAGGAGGGAAAAAAAUGUCUUGGUGUAUAUGCUCAGGAGGAAGAAAAUUUGACGUGGUGUAUGCGCUCAUGAGGUGGAAAAUUUGACGUGGUGUAUGCGCUCACGAGGUAGAAAAUUUGACGUGGUGCAUACAACAAGGAGGUAGAAAGUUUGACGUGGGGUAUAGGCUCAGAAGGUAGAUUUGACGUCGUGUAUACGCCCAAUAGGUAGAUUUGACGUCGUGUAUACGCUCAUUAGGUAGAAAAUUUGACGUGGGGUAUAGGCUCAGAAGGUAGAUUUGACGUCGUGUAUACGCUCGGGAGGUAAAUUUGACGUCAUGUAUACGCUCAGGAGGUAGAUUUGAAGUCGUGUAUACAUACGCGCAUGCAGGAAGUAGAAAGUUUGACGUCGUGAAACUUUAGUAUAUAUACACUCAGAAGGUAGAUUUGAAUUGGUGUUUGUGCUCAGGUGGCAGAAAAUUUGUUUUUCAUGUGUAUACGCUCAGGAGAAAGAAAAUUUGUCUUUGUGUAAUUGUUCAGGAAGUUGACUACAUGGAAGUCCAAAAAUGUGGUGAUCAUUUUGUUACUGUUGUGUAUUGUAUCUGGUUCAUCCAUCCCAAAUUUUACCACAGUUAUGAACCAUAUCACUUUUGUUUCCUUAUUUCUAGUUUGCAAGAUCAAAAUAGAACUCUCAUCAUGAUUGAUAUUAUAAAAUAAUUAUUCAAGUUGUACUGACCUAAUAAAACAACAGUGCUGUUUUAUUGACGUUCGCCCUAAUUGUCUGUAUUUUGUUAUAACAAAUACGAAAUUAAUUCGUGCAUUCGUUGUACCAGUAAAACCGAUAUCUAUGAAUUGUUAUUCUUUCAAAAAUUAACACAUCUGUCAGUUUACCCGACAUCAUGCUGCCAAUGUGAGAACUCUCCAUCCAAGUCACAAUGUGUACAAAUAAUACCAUAGUCCGUAUUUUGAACUACAAUAAAAUUGUUUGUUUUUAGUAAAUUGUGACUUGGAUGGAGAGUUGUUUCGAUAGGACUCAUUCCACAUCUUCUUACAUCUAUAUAAUUUCUGACAUUGCUAUAGCUAUCAGGCUAUGUAGUUUCAAGUAUCAACCUAUAUGCCUUUUUAUCAUCUCAAAUCUUCAAUAUUUCCUAGCAGGUAGUUUUUAAUUGAUCUCGACAUAAAAUAGGUGGGAAAAUAUGAUGCCGUAACGGGUAUCGAUAUAUAUUGUAUAUUUAAACACAAUAUGCUGGCUGAUUUGAUUACUCCGAUCAAUAUAAAGACAACUUAGACGAACAUGAUCAAUGUAUUAUAAUAAUUGCUAUAAUUAUCAUAUUGCGAUAUUGAAUGUGUAUAAUUUCUGUUUACUGAAACUAAGAUGUCAUAUAUUUUAGUGUCCAUGGCAGAUGAAUGAAUUUAUCAAUUUGUUCAUCAUUUUAACUAUUGUACUAUUUCUUAUUGCUUAGAUCUGUCGUUACAGUUCAAACCAUUUUCAUUUACUGUCUAUUCAAAUAUAUAUAGUCUUAUACUUUCAUUUGAAGGUCCUAAUCCUCUUCAAUGUACAGCGUUUUCCUGCGAACUGUUAUACCAUGUUAUAUAGCUAGCAGGGCCGUAACUAGAGUUCGAAUUCAGGGGAGGCAGGGAUUUGGGGGCCGCCGAUUGAGGCCCCCUAAGAGAGAGGGGGUUGGGGGCGCAGCCCCCGCCGAUUUUUUUCUCGCAGUAAAAUGGCUAAAAAUUACCUGUUUUCCUUCGAUUUACUUACUUUAAGAAACGUCAGUAUUGCUUGAACCUGGAAGCAAUUUAUAUGCAAAAACAAACUGAGAUUGCUGUUCGGGGUAAGCCAAGGCUCCGUCUUGAAGGCCGUACUUUGACAUUGUGACCGCGGAUUUUGUUCUCAAUAUGGCUAAAAAUUACCCGUUUUCCUUCGAUUGCCUUACUUUAAGAAACAUCAGUAUUGCUGGAUCCUUGAAGCAUUUUUUUUAUACAAACAAUUAUUAUCCGUAUUUAAAGAUAGUUUUUGUUGGAAAUCAAACUGGUAAGUUAAAAAAACAUUUAAAGCAAGAUCAUAGAAAAUAAGAUAUUUUUUUUGGCGAGGACCUUGAAUUUUAAUAUUGGUGAAAGCUGAUCAGACAUGUAUAUAACUACAACAAGGGACUUUCUAAAAUAGUAUAUACUUAGUUUAGAAAGUCUCUGCUUCAACGAAUGGGAGUGUUUAACUACUAAGGCAUUGAUUAGAAUGUUCUCGUACGAUCGGCCGGGAGACGUUAAAAAAAUGACACAACAGCUGAUUCAGCCGGUAACGAAUUUCCAAUAUCAUAAAAGGUUCACAAUACAAAGGGAGCUUCCUCUGCUUAAUGGAUCCCCUAAAUAUAUGUGAAAUAUUCAGUUUUAUUCAACAAUUGUUCAAAUAACAAAUUAUGUUGUUUCAUAUGUGUUCUCGUACAAAUACUGAAUAACAGUGCCAAACGAAAAAUAAAAUACUGAAACGGUUCACUUUCGGUAAAAAAAUCCGGAAAAUGACAGAUAUAUCACGUAUCUUAAUAACACUGUUAAAACUGUAAACUUGUUGAAAGCAAAGUUUCAUACGUGUUCUCGUACAAAUACUGAAUAACAGUGCCACACGAAAAAUAAAAUACUGAAACGGUUCACUUUCGGUAAAAAAAAUCCGGAAAAUGACAGAUAUAUCACGUAUCUUAAUAACACUGUUAAAACUGUAAACUUGUGUUGUUUAUAAUAUAAAUUCAAGUUCUUCGUGUACAUAUUGUCAAUAUUUCAUUUGAUUACUUCGAAAAAAAAUUUUGGUGUAGAAAAUUCAGGGGAGGCAACUCCCUCCCCUGCCUCAUAGGUAGUUACGGCCCUGGCUAGCAUUAAAAGAUCCGACUCAACGUGUUGGUCCAAUUCACAUUAAAAAAAUGAAAAUAAUUUCAAACAUGUACAUGUAAUGUUUGCAACAGUAGGUUAAACAACAACCCAUUCUCAAUACAUUCUUCUAUUCGCUUCACUUGCAUUGUACACAGCACUGUACUAUACUGGCAUCCGAGUUAUCGUGGUUAUGUCGUUGGUGCAGGAUAGUUGUGAUUUUUAUACGAGACACUCACAGUUGCUUACGUUACACAUUGCUUUAAAAAAAUCUAAACAUACAUUUAUUAAUUUAUUUAUUUGGUGGUAAACAAAUUGCAUCAAAGAGUCGUCUGCUUCUAAUGGAACAUUCCUCUCAGGAAAUCAGAUCAUUUGAAGAAAAUUAGUUGUCUGUCUUUAAUGGAAUAUUUGCAGAAAAAACAUUUCUGUACUAAAUUGAGAAUGUUUUGUGUAUAUACUUAGACAGCUAUUUGAAAAAAAAUGUAGGAAUCUAAUUUGCUUAGAUGCAAAUUUCCGAAUGUAAGUUUCAUUGCAUAAUGUUUUCCGUUUUGACGAAAUUGACAUGUUUAUAACUCUGCAGUUAGAUCUGGUGAUGAAAUAGUGUCUGGAACAUCAUUUAUCAUUUAAUUCUUAUACUGCCAUUAGGGAAAUCAAAAGCAUUUUUUCUAGUUGAUUAAAAAAAUGGCUGCCUAACUGGGAAUCUUUGGCCGAUCAAUUAUAUUUAUUCCAUAUGGAAGAUUUCGUUUCGUCAUGCAUAACAUAGGUAAACUAUAUAACAAAGAACGUUUAAAAAAUAAAAUGUAGUAAUAUUCUUCUCAAAGUGUUCCAUUUUGUCACAAGUAAAUCAUAUAGCUUAGAACAUUUCUAAAAUCAAAUGCUGUAAGAUUCUUCUUAAAGUGUUCCAUUUUGUCAAAAGUAAAUCAUAUAACAAGAAACAUUUCAAAAAUCAAAUGAUGUAGGAUUCUUCGCAAAAUGUUCCUUUUUGUCAAAAGUAAAUCAUAUAGCAAGGAACAUUUCCAAAAUCAAAUGCAAUAAGAUUCUUCUUAAAGUGUUCCAUAGUGUCAAAAGAAAAUCUUAUAGCAAGGAACAUUUCCAAAAUCAAAUGCAAUAAGAUUCUUCUUAAAGUGUUCCAUAGUGUCAACAGAAAAUCUUAUAGCAAGGAACAUAUCCAAAAUCAAAUGCAGUAAGAUUUUUCUAAAGAGUUCCAUUUCGUCAAAAGUAAAUCAUAUAGCAAGGAACAUUUCCAAAAUCAAAUGCAAUACAUUCUUCUUAAAGUGUUCCAUAGUGUCAAAAGGAAAUCUUAUAGCAAGGAACAUUUCCAAAAUCAAAUGCAGUAAGAUUCUUCUAAAAGUGUUUCAUUUUGUCAAAAGUAAAUCAUAUAGCAAGGAACAUUUCCAAAAUCAAAUGAAAUAAGAUUCUUCUUAAAGUGUUCCAUAGUGUCAUAAGAAAAUCUUAUAGCCAGGAACAUUUCCAAAAUCAAAUGCAGUAAGAUUUUUCUUAAAGAGUUCCAUUUCGUCAAAAGUAAAUCAUACUAUAUAUAGCUAGGAACAUUUCCAAAAUCAAAUGCAAUAAGAUUCUUCUUAAAGUGUUCCAUAGUGUCAAAAGAAAAUCUUAUAGCAAGGAACAUUUCCAAAAUCAAAUGCAAUACAUUCUUCUUAAAGUGUUCCAUAGUGUCAAAAGAAAAUCUUAUAGCAAGGAACAUUUCCAAAAUCAAUUGCAGUAAGAUUCUUCUUAAAGUGUUUCAUUUUGUCAAAAGUAAAUCAUAUAGCAAGGAACAUUUCCAAAAUCAAAUGCAAUACAUUCUUCUUAAAGUGUUCCAUAGUGUCAAAAGAAAAUCUUAUAGCAAGGAACAUUUUCAAAAUCAAAUGCAAUAAGAUUCUUCUUAAAGUGUUCCAUUUUGUCAAAAGUAAAUCAUAUAGCAAGUAACAUUUUCAAAAUCAAAUGCAAUAAGAUUCUUCUAAAAGUGUUCCAUUUUGUCAAAAGUAAAUCGUAUAGUUAGGAGCAUUUCUAAAAUCUAAUGCAGUACAAUUCUUCCAAAAGUGUUCCUUUUUGUCAACAAACUUGUGAUAUUUUUUUUAAUCGUCUUAAAAAAAAAAUAUGAAUGAAACUACAUGUGAAGCUUCGUUUCGUGUGAAGUUUAGCAAUGACGCCAUCUAAUUAAAUUUCGAGUUGACCUUUUAUGACCAUAUAAGCGAUGUAAACAUAAACAUAGAUUUAAAUAGAUUAAGCAGCUCGUGCAGUUGGAUUUUUAUAGGUCCACUAAAUUUUGUAUUAUAGAUUAAAAAUUUAUGUUUAUGAUCGUUUUUUUUUCCUACAUAAGAAUGAGUUUUUGUGGAUCGAAUCAGUCAAUCAAAUUAUUUACCUUUGUUUCACUUUCAAUGUUGACAUUCUUUUCCUGUAAAUAACCGUACACGGACAAUGCAUGCGUUAUGGUUCUAUCUCGUUCUACGGGGUUAAAUUGGAGUUCACAUGAAUACAGGUUUAAUGAGGUCGAAUUAUUCACUUGCAAGUGAAUAAUUCAUUAUCAAUUUUUAUUAACUUAAUUUGAUAAAAUUGAACCAUUUUAGCUGCUAAAAGUGAAUUAUUAUUUCACCUUUUCACUUUCAUUAAAGAUUGAACAAUAAAAAUUGCUAAACGGCGCCAUAGGGUUCAACCUAUCACUUGAGAUGGGAUUCUGAAGACCAUGGUUUGCCAAUAUCAACUUUGGAAUCGAAAAUUGUAAAACCUUCAAUAAACAUUAUGUAUUCUGCUAUUAUUGGAGCUUUAUGCAUCAUUCAGAAUUUGUCACAUAAGCAAUAUGUUCAUAUAGAUCUUGUUACCCGAGAAAUUGAUAAAAUGGACCGUUGAAAAGUAGACUCUGACAAAAGCAGUAGUGGUACAUUUUCUAUUUCCAACACUUUGUAUAAAAUAACAUACAAACUGCCUUCUGCCCGAGCCAAAAGUGUUCACUUGAUCAGUUCAUAUGAGUGUCCCUGUUGGUCUAAAUAUUUCACAAAUAGACGAUAAAGCACAUUAGACUCAAAAUCACCUUAACACUUUUUGUAGAAACACGCUUUACACAUUAGUUCUAAACUAUCCAAAGUGUCGUUCGUCUGUGAUGGUUGUCGGUUUUGUGAUACAAUAUCAACUUGAUACUAGUUUUCAACCGCACUAUGGGCGAAUCAUACAGAGGAGCAAGUUCUAAUCAUGUGCUUGCGCUGUCGACACAUCUUACUGCAGUCCGUUUAUUAUGAUUCCUUCUAUUUUCUUUUGAUAUCCAAUAUACUAAACAAUGCUCUUCGUUUUACAGAGAUGAACAGCCGUCAGACGACAGGUAGCAUUUGUUAAACUAACAAGAAGUGUUUUGGCUUUGUACUAAUAUCUUAUACUUUACUAAUAAUCAUGUUAGAAUGUAAUAUCUUUAUAUUAUAACAGGUUUUUUUCAUACUAAAACCAAAGUGCCUUGAGGACUGAAAAUAAAUGUAAAAGCAUUUGCGGUGUGUUUGAUUUUCUUCUGUCAUUGGGGGAAAAGAAGAUUUAUUUUUUAUUUUAAUUCAUUUCUAUUCUUAUUUGAUUUAUAUUGGGGGAAGGAGAGUCCGAGAAUUUAUUCUACGAUUUUGAUUAAGACGUUUUUUGUUUUGUAAAUAAAUAACAACCUUUUGUUUUGAACACCAACCAAUCAAUCAAUCUAUGAAUAAGAAGUCAUAGAAACUGUUUCUUUAAACUACACAUUUCAAAACGCUGGCCUUUGUAAGAUUCACUAUUAGUCUCCUUUAAACCUUAGUACAUCAUAUAUAUUAACACUUUUUGUGACUUGCAUAUUAUAUUGUAAUGGUCAUUAUUUUUUUUUUAUUAAUGCUUAGAUAUGGUUGUUAAACUUAUUUGAAUUGUAUUGAUUUUUUUCCUUUUCUGUUCACAUCUUAAAAAAACAAUUUUUAAUUACAAUUUUAAAUACAGUACUUACAAGUUUUAAUAAUAAUUUUAUUCUACAGAAUUUUAUUCAAUUUGUAACAGUUUUUAUAAAUUAUUUUAAUAAAUGUAUCGCUCUUUUGUUCAUUAUUAUUACAAACUUUUUGCAGAAGUUUCGUCCAAUAUAUUUGUUUCCAUGUUUUUCGUUUAUCUUUAAGUUUUAGGGUUUCAAGUGACGAUAUAGAACUUGAAAUAGAACACGAUUCUAGGUAUAUAUCUUAUUUAUAAAUUAACAAGAACUAUACUCAAUGCAAAUACAAAUCUAUUCUCGAGAAUAUUAACAUACUUUCAAGUAAAGUCUGAAUCUAUACUUAGGAGAUUUUUGUACGCAUUGUUGUAGAACCAGAUCAUCUAUGUGCGAUUGGAAACUUGUAUCCAAUGAAUUUCACCAAAAUGAAGGCAUAUAUGAAAACCUUAUUUCAAAUACUUCAGCCUGUUGAAAAUUAGACAAAGUCCUAUUUUAGUAGUCAAUGGAGGGCAUAUAGUCUGUUGAUAUGUAAGAUUGUUUCUAGAUGACUAUACAUGUUUCCUUUGACCAAUAUCAUACCAUUCCCUGUAGAUUAUUGUUAUUAAUCGUAGAAAAUAUGACAAAACUAUUGCUAACAUCUUUGAAAAUGCUGAAAUCUGCAAAAGCGGUGUUUUAUUGAUGUCGGCAAUUGUUUGAUCUAAAAAGAAAAAGAAAAAAGAAGUCAACCAAGAUAUUUUAAUGGCAAAUUAAGUCCAUAUGACACACAAAAAACACAAAAAUGUGUUACAUCUUAAGAUAUAUUUAGUUAAAAUUACAGUUCGAUAUAUAAGUUAUAUAUAAUCAGGGAAUAUCAUAAAUAAAAGCGAAAGAUACCAAAGGGACAUUCAAACUUAAAAGUAAAAAAUAAACUGACAACAGAUGCUGGUAUUUAUUUUGUUUUUCUAUUUUUAAAAUCAAUAAUAACUGAUAUUUUAAAGUAUUGUGGAUCAGUUUUUUUGGGUUUUUUUUUUUUACAAUCAACAUUAUAUAAUUAACAAGUCAUUUGUUGUAAUCAAUAUGGGUCUAUACAUCUAUGAUUUUACCAGAAUUAGCUUCUUUUUCUCUCUCGCUUUUUGGUCCUUUCAAGACUUUAAACAGCUUAUACGAGCCAUUUCAAUUAUUCUUAUAUAUAAGGUGGUUGUUUAGCAACGUAUAUGACAUCUUGCAGAUACUUCAUUUUUUUUAAAUCGUAAAAACUUGAGAAAGACAAUAUUUCACAGUUUAGAAAUUCUGUCGACUGUAUUUUCAGUUGUUCAAUUUCAAUGUUAGACUUUCCUUAAGAAAAUGGUUAAUCGUUUAAUAAAAUGAUUUAUCAGAAUGUGACUUACGAUUGCGAUUUUCAAUGUUGUAUGCGAUAAAUAGCACAGUUAAAGUUGCGUUCAUUUACUGUUAUGUAGUCAUUAGCAUACUACCAAUGGCUGACUAUUAUAUUUGUUUCAAAAUUAGUCCCAACAAAUGAAAAAAAAAAAAGGAGUGACAGAUAUGUUUCUAUGUGUGCACACAAAAAACGCUGAUGGAAACAUAGCUAUUGACCAAAUUGGUGUUUGGAUUUAUGAGCAUUUCCAAAUAAUCAAUUGUCCUCUGAGUUUUGAUAAAACACUCGUAAUUUCCUGACUCAUACCUAUAUUUUGAAUGUUUGCAUAAACAAAAAAAUUGAUAUUUCAUUUUUAAAAUCUUGAGAAAUCUUUAUAUAUAUAUUGAAUUUAAAGCAAUGGUUAAUUUAAAUUUAUCUUUUUCUCCUGUUUCAAGCAUCAUACCAUCAUUUUACAAAUUGUAGAAUUAAAAACAAUAAAUGAAACUAGCAUGUACUCGUGUGUGAAUUAUUAUGGUCAAAUCAAGUGUUUCCGGUUUGCUAUCGACCCAAUUGCACUUUUCAUCUCCGUGAUGAAGUCUGUUUAAUUGUUCAAAGCCGAGUAUAGCUCACAAUAAGUUAAUAAAUCGAUCAUGUUAAAAGCAAUUUCUAAAACUGAUGUUAAUUUGCUUAGGUGUUUUAUUCAGUGUCAUGUAAAUACAAGAAAAAACUAUGAUUCAAAGACUUAGCUUACAUAUUUCUUGGAAUGGAGUACGUGUUUCUUUGGGUGGAUUAGAGUCAGAUUUUUUUGUUUAAGUCUUGCACCCGAGAUCAUCCCAAUUUUCGGUGGGGUUCGUGUUGCUUAGUUUUGAAUUUUUCAAUGCUGUGUUUUGUGUUCUAUUGUUUGCCUGUUUGUCUUUUUCUGUUUUAGGUUGGGUAUUGUCAGUUAAUUUUCGAUUUAUGAGUAUGUCUGUCCCUUUGAUAUCUUUCGUCCCUCUUUUAAUACAAUAAUGGGAGUCAUACCUUCAGUUUUCCAAUUAUAUAAUUUUGGACAUUUGUUAAAAGUAAGAAGAUAUCAUACCUCUUGAAUCAGUUGUUAGCCGAAGACAACAGACAACACCAAUACCAAAAGAGACAAACAUAAAACUAGAUAAAGCAACACGGAUACUUCCAAAAUAACGGGGGAUUACAAUUAGUGCUGAACAAAAUGUUGUAAAAAAUACUUUAUUGUAACACAGUUAACCAUGUUUGUCAAAUUGUUAAAUAUAAUUACUCGCCAAAAGUAUUAUUGCAUAGCAAUAUAAUAUUCCCCUCAGAAAGUAACCAAAAGUUGUCGUAGAACAUAUAUUGCACUCGCAAGUUCGUGCAAUAUAAAAUUCUACUCGGGACAAUAUUCCCCAAUAUUCAUGCAAUAACCCUUUAAUACUAAAAAUAAAUUAAGGACUGAAUGUAUAUAUACAUAAUAUUUAUGUUAUACGAAUUUAAGGCGCAAUUACUACAUAAGUAAGCCGCCCACCAAAACCAAUAACAAUAACAACAACAUAAUGCAGCACAAUCGGUACAAAAAACUUUAAACUCAAACAUGUACGUGAUGUUCCCAUUUUGUCUUUGGCAUUUAAAAAAACCCAUAUAUAAUAUACAAGCACUCAAUUAGACGAUGAUGAACAGCCAACACAUAGCUUUUAUCCAGGGUACUAGUAACUUAAUGACCAGAAUUUUCUUCAGAUUAUAUCGAGCAUGUAAACUUAUAAACCUGUCUCUCGAGAGUGGGAAUGGUAUAAUCACAAAAAUACUGAACUCCGAGGAAUAUUCAAAAUGUACUGUCACUUACCAAAUUGCAAAAUCAAAAGCUCAAACACACCAAACUAAUGGAUACUAACUGUCAUAUUCCUGACUUGGUACAGGCAUUUUUUUUAUGUAGAAAAUGGUGGAUUCAACCUGGUUUUAUAGCUAGCUAAACCUCUCACUUGUAUGACAAAUCGCAUAGAAUUCAUGGGAACGCACUCUGGCGGAUUUCGGAAUAAUAGUCUCCACUUCCCACACUCCCUCCUUAUUCACAUUUUUACGUGAUAACUUAGUUUUAUCGUAUUUUAGAAAUUGAUGUAAAAAAAAAUGUAAUAGUAACAUUUGUAAUGAAUCAACGUACCAAAAAGACAAAAGGACAGCGACAUAAACAGUUACUGAUCACCGUACGACUUUCAACAAGAGAAAGGUUCAUCCCUGAUCAUAGUAAACAUUUUCUUUUAAAUAAGAGAGACCACUGGCCUGUAACUUGCAAAAAUAUUUAUUUCAAACCCUCAGAGAAAACAAUGAUAAUAAAGAUUUAUUUGAUUUAGUUAGUGAUAUACAGUAGAAAUCGAUACAUGUUUAGAAGAUAAAGGAAUAAAUCGUAUAAACAAAAUACCUAUAAUUUAGGCUAAAAAUCAAUGGAUAUAAAUGGCGAUGAUGGUAUGCUCAAGCUCUCUGUAUAACUAGCACGAGUUUUUCAAGGCCUUGAAAUUCUAGAUAUUUUACUCAAAGAGGUUAAUGGAACAAUAUCUGGCGUUGACCAUACUUUUUUUAAAAUGUGUAUUUUUUUUUUGGGGGGGGGGGGGGUAUAAAACUCGCAAUAUAACUGAAGUACCAACCAUACCAAAGUUUCAGAUUCCUUUUCACCAUAUCCUGAGACCCAUUAAACAUUGUGAUUUAGACAUAUGUUUGGUAUUAUAGUUUGAACUUGAAGUGUAUUAUCUCAUUUAUCACGAUUUAAUUGUUUUUGUUCAUUAACGGUGAAUCAUUCUUUGAAUUUAUUAAAAAUCCUACAAUACUUUGGUACAAUGAAUAAUAGUGUAGCAUCAGUUUUCAAUAAAUAUGACAAACAAUUAAAAGCUGUUGUCAAAUAACAAAUUCCCAAAUUUUAAAUAUCAAACAAACAAUUUAAACAUAUUUAUUCUCUCUCAAUCCUUCCCCCUUUUCGUUUCGAUCUAUGGACUAUCAAGAGUACACACAAGAAUAUACAAUACAAUCAAUACAGUAAUAGUAUUUUACUCUAUUACAACUGAACAUUAUUGUAUAGAGUCUAUACAACCUCAGCAUUGUUCUGGCUUCAAUUAUAUUGCAGUCACCGAACAAUCUUUGUCAUAUCUCAAUAUCUGACUUAACUAAUACAAGUUUUAUAACUGAUACACACUUUAACACUCAGUUGCUCUUACCUGACCAAUCUUGAAUAUUUAUAGUAAGUAAUGUCUGUGGACCAGUUUAUAAUAUUUUUGUGUUAUUGUCCCCAGAAAGAAAAAAAGACUAAGACAUUGAAAAGAACAAGAUCAUGUCAUUGUCCGUGUCAUACAAUGUAUCAAUAGUGGAUACGUUGAAAGUUGUAGUUUAACUAAAUAAUUACCAAACACAAGUGACUAAAAGGAUAUAAAAACUUUAAGUAACCAUGUACAUGUAUUAAUCAAAAAUUCUAAUUGGUUAUCAUUUAUUUUCAGAAUGGCAACGUUUACUGUCGGAGGAGGAGGCCAGGAUGAUGGGGAUUUUAACGGACCAUAUGAUGGAAAUAUUCGCCAUGUUGCCAAAAAGGCAGCUAACCUUAGUCUUCCGGGAACAUUAGGCUCCAACUCUAGAUCUUUAUUUAUCUUUAGUGAAGAAAACUUUAUCAGAAAAUACGCCAAGAUAAUCAUAGAAUGGGG
rnacentral:lncRNA from 1 species